UGCCCGUGCACAGGUUCAGGCGGACUCGGCUCGCGCGUGUUCCCGCGAUUAUGGGCGGCGGCGCGCUCUCGCGAUGCUUGGCCGCCGCCGCCUCUCCCGGGAGCCGGAGGGUCCAGCUGAGACCGCAGGAUGGAGACAGUGAUGAGCGGGUCCGUAACCCCGGAGUGUGAGACACUGUCAUUGCCAAAUGCUGCCUGACCUACAAAGAAACGGAGCAAAUCUGUGAAGUUGUUUCUAACUAAUUUACGAGGAAGCAUAUGUCCACAAGAGUUUUCACUAAGUGUGGACGCAGGAAUUUAAAAUAGAAAAGUCACAAUAUGAAAAUGUGACAAUCAACUUUAAAUCAUCCAGACAGCAACCUUAUCCGAUGCAAGCCAUGAAUAUAUAAGUUUAAUUGAUAAUGAUGGAUAACUAAUUUAAGUUGUACAAUGCAUUUGUUAAAUAUUCAUGCUACACUGCUGUUGGCACAGUUGUACGUUGAUUAGAUAUGUCACUUUUUUUGCUUUUAGUUGGAGUCCCUGUACUUAUUGUUAAAUAUGUUUGUGACCUGUUAACAGUUUUAAAUAAAGCUAUGAAGUGUGAUGGUU